UACGGAGGGUGCAAGCGUUAUUCGGAAUUACUGGGCGUAAAGCGCGUGUAGGCGGGAAGGUAAGUCUGAUGUGAAAGCCCUGGGCUCAACCUGGGAAGUGCAUUGGAUACUGCUUUUCUUGAGUUCUGGAGAGGAUGGGGGAAUUCCCGGUGUAGAGGUGAAAUUCGUAGAGAUCGGGAGGAAUAUCAGUGGCGAAGUCGCCCAUCUGGACGGCAACUGACGCUGAGACGCGAAAGCGUGGGGAGCAAACAGG
rnacentral:rRNA from 1 species